rnacentral:lncRNA from 1 species
AUGGAGCACACAUCAGAGCUCUGUGGGCAAAAGCUGCUCUCAUGAGGAAGCCACACUGUUUCUGACCCAAUCUAAAGAGUGGCCUGGUGAACAAGGCGCUCUGUGCUUUUGGUUCCUACCAGUGAUGGCUGGGAAUAAAGAAGGUUAGAACAAAAGAAAACAUCUUGCUUCCCUGCCAAUUCCAGGCUUUCACCAAAGCUGAGUUAACCUGGCUAUAAGAUGAUUCCUGUGCUAUAGCUGCUGGAGGUAGCCUGAUCAAAAAACACCGCAAUUGUGGAGAUGAUUGAUUCUUCUUUUUAUCACCUGUAAUACCCCUAUCUUUCCUCCAUGUAACCAUUAAAGGGAGCAGUUGUGUACAAAAUGUAUUAUACACAGGUCCCACGCAGAGGAGUUAGAGGGAGGAUUUAAUACACAAGAAAAGAGGUUCCUGGUGUCCUGAGGGGAAGUUCCCUCCCUGCUGGCUACUUGAGUGGGCUAAUCUUCAGCCCCCAAAUGAGGCCUACAUGGAAAAGGAUGACAUCGAGCAAAGGGCAUAGGUGGAAACUCCCUCCCUACAACACAUCAUCUGCUACUCUCAGCUCAAAGGUUUAAAGAGAGCAAGAAGAUUUACUUCAGAUGGUCCGUGUCCCUGUCACCAUCCCCAUCUCCAUUUCUGACAGGAGUGUACAGGGAGGUGAAAAGAAGGUGGCUGUCAUUGGGAAACAAGAUUUUGGAAACAGGGCCGAGAAUGGGAAUCUGAUUUUCUGGCAAAAAACCCUAAUCUAUAAUAAGAGGCUAUGUUACCUUAGCCCAACAGAGGUCUAUAUCCUGAAAUCAUAAAGGUUCAGAAGACCAGAAUACAAGCCCAGUGUUCAGGUCAAGAGGACAAGAUCCUUGGAAUCAGACACACUGGAAUAAAAAUUGAAAUUCUUUCA